UUGCAAAUGAUGUAAACUACAAUUCUGCCUGAAUGAUUGUGAUGCAUUCAAAGGAACCACUGAUGCUU